rnacentral:rRNA from 1 species
AUUGAACGCUGGCGGCAGGCCUAACACAUGCAAGUCGAACGGUAACAGGAAGCAGCUUGCUGCUUUGCUGACGAGUGGCGGACGGGUGAGUAAUGUCUGGGAAACUGCCUGAUGGAGGGGGAUAACUACUGGAAACGGUAGCUAAUACCGCAUAACGUCGCAAGACAAAAGAGGGGGACCUUCGGUCCUCUUGCCAUCGAAUGUGCCCCGAUGGGAUUAGCUAGUAGGUGGGGUAACGGCUCACCUAGGCGACGAUCCCUAGCUGGUCUGAGAGGAUGACCAGCCACACUGGAACUGAGACACGGUCCAGACUCCUACGGGAGGCAGCAGUGGGGAAUAUUGCACAAUGGGCGCAAGCCUGAUGCAGCCAUGCCGCGUGUAUGAAGAAGGCCUUCGGGUUGUAAAGUACUUUCAGCGGGGAGGAAGGGAGUAAAGUUAAUACGUUUGCUCAUUGACGUUACCCGCAGAAGAAGCACCGGCUAACUCCGUG